rnacentral:lncRNA from 1 species
CUCUCUCUCUAAAUGCACAACACAAAAAUACCUAUCAAGUUUUAGACAUGACUUCACCUGAGUAUUUGCUUAGCUGUGCAUCCUCUCAUUUCCAACCAAGACAUUGGGGGUUAAAGUCUUAAAACGAUGUUAUCUCACAAGAUUGCAACACUGCACAAUCCAAGAAUAACAUACUUUGAUAUGUCCGAAAGAAAAGAAAAGAAUUUUAGACGCAACCUCUGCCCAAAUGUAUUAUUGCAUUGAUCGAUCUAUAAACUUGUUCUCACACCC